rnacentral:tRNA from 1 species
UCGCUAAUAGCUCAGUCAGUAAAGAAUCUGCCUGCAACGCAGGAGACCCAGGUUCAAUUCCUGGGUUGGGAA